rnacentral:rRNA from 1 species
AUGUAGAUGCCUACAACAUAGCAUUAAUGCACCCGUUAGAACUCCACAGUUAAGCACUCUUGGGCUAGACUAGUACUGGGAUGGGUAACCGCCUAGGAAGUCCUAGUGUUUUACAUG